rnacentral:rRNA from 1 species
GAUGAACGCUGGCGGCGUGCCUAAUACAUGCAAGUCGAGCGAACGGACGAGAAGCUUGCUUCUCUGAUGUUAGCGGCGGACGGGUGAGUAACACGUGGAUAACCUACCUAUAAGACUGGGAUAACUUCGGGAAACCGUAGCUAAUACCGGAUAAUAUUUUGAACCGCAUGGUUCAAAAGUGAAAGACGGUCUUGCUGUCACUUAUAGAUGGAUCCGCGCUGCAUUAGCUAGUUGGUAAGGUAACGGCUUACCAAGGCAACGAUGCAUAGCCGACCUGAGAGGGUGAUCGGCCACACUGGAACUGGGACACGGUCCAGACUCCUACGGGAGGCAGCAGUAGGGAAUCUUCCGCAAUGGGCGAGAGCCUGACGGAGCAACGCCGCGUGAGUGAUGAAGGUCUUCGGAUCGUAAAACUCUGUUAUUAGGGAAGAAUAUAUGUGUAAGUAACUGUGCACAUCUUGACGGUACCUAAUCAGAAAGCCACGGCUAACUACGUG